rnacentral:tRNA from 1 species
GACUCAGUGGUCCAAUGGUAAAGCGUUUGUUGCUGAGCCAUAUGGUCCUGGGUUCGAUCCCCAAUAGGGUUG